rnacentral:lncRNA from 1 species
UUUUUUCAGAAGGAGCUUCAGGGACCGGCUGGGGGGGGGCUCCUCCCCGAGGUGGACAACCCCGUCCCGGGAGUGAGAACUUGACACCCUGACCCCACUGCUCGGUCGCGGGGAGGCAGUUGGUGACCUACCGUGAGCCAGGCAUCGGGGUGCAGCAGCAUUCCUCUGCACCACUGUGGGCUCCCAGAUCAGACCCAGCCUGGGUCAGAAGGGAGAGGCUGGAAAUGGAAAGAAGGGAGCUAUCUAAAGACUCAGUGCCUCUGCUGUGGCCCUGCAGGGGGGGGGGGGCACUCCAGGGGAGCAGUAAGGAGCCCCUCCCCAGCAGGAAAAGCCAGAGUGCCCCUUGGAGCCCCUGAGAAAGAGCAACAAGUAGCCCCCACCCCCACAGGGCUCUCAGGAGUUUCUGAGUUUGAUUUAAAAAAAAAAAGACAGCUGGGUGCCAGGUAGGGCUGGCUGCACUUGUUCCAUUUGGACUGUGUGUGUGUGUGUGUGUGUGUGUCCUGCUCCAGGAUUUGCCAGAUGGAAGCACAGCUGGAGCUAUAGGUGGGAGACAAGGAUGGGGCUUUCCCUGCCUGCUUACCUCCUUUCCCUGAAAAUCCCCUGGAAACCAGCCCCUUGUGGGGAGGAGGUGCAGCUUGUCAGCUUGCCCCAUGCAGAGGAUCAAAUGACAUCAAAUGACAGGAACCUACUGAAUCAAUGAUGCUGAAUUCCCACCAGGAGGAAAGGAGCAGAGAGUUUGAGUGGCCGACAGGAGUCAAAGCUGAGGCCAGGCCAGGUGCCUUGGUGGGCCAGCCUGGCGUCUCUAGGGCAUGCCAGGCUCCCAUCGCACGCCUUGGGAGGGGGUGGAGAAGGCAGCUCAGAUCAUGUCCCUCUAGGUUGGUAUCCACUCUGAAGUAUUUCUCUGUCUCCUCUGACCUUCUCCUGAGAACAGUGUCCCAGUGCACUCUGAGGCAACAUGUGGCAUGACAUCAGUGGCUUAUUGAUCCC